rnacentral:rRNA from 1 species
GAAUAUUGCGCAACGGGGGAAACCCUGACCCAGCAACGCCGCGUGAAGGAUGAAAUCCCUCGGGAUGUAAAUUUCGCAAGAACGGGAAGAAUAAGUAAGGGUUAAUAUCUCUUACGAUGACGGUACUGUUUGUAAGCUCCGGCUAACCCCGUGCCAGCCGCCGCGGUAAUACGGGGGGAGCAAGCGUUGUUCGGAUUUACUGGGCGUAAAGGGCGCGUAGGCGGCCACCGCAAGUCGACUGUGAAAUCUCCGGGCUUAACUCGGAAAGGUCAGCCGAUACUGCGGGGCUAGAGUGCAGAAGGGGCAACUGGAAUUCUCGGUGUAGCGGUGAAAUGCGUAGAUAUCGAGAGGAACACCUGCGGCGAAGGCGGGUUGCUGGGCUGACACUGACGCUGAGGCGCGAAAGCUAGGGGAGCGAACGGG